rnacentral:rRNA from 1 species
CAAUAGCGUAUAUUAAAGUUGUUGCAGUUAAAAAGCUCGUAGUUGGAUUUCGGGGCAGCCUGGCUGGUCCGCCGCAAGGCGAGUACUGGUCAGCCGCCCUUCCUCUCGAAAGCCCCGACUGCUCUUUAUUGCAGUGGUCGGGUAGUUCGGGACGUUUACUUUGAAAAAAUUAGAGUGUUCAAGGCAGGCCUACGCCUGAAUACAUUAGCAUGGAAUAAUGGAAGAGGACCUCGGCCCUAUUUUGUUGGUUUCCAGGACCGAAGUAAUGAUUAAGAGGGACAGUUGUGGGCAUUCGUAUUUAAUUGUCAGAGGUGAAAUUCUCGGAUUUAUGAAAGACGAACAACUGCGAAAGCAUUUGCCAAGGAUGUUUUCAUUAA